rnacentral:tRNA from 1 species
CUCGUCAUAGUUUAUUAAAACAUUGAUUUGCAAAAUCAAAAUAGGAGUAAAAUCCUGAUGUGU